rnacentral:rRNA from 1 species
AGGGUUUGAUCAUGGCUCAGGACGAACGCACAAGACGUGCCUAACACAUGCAAAUCGAAUGAAAACAAUAAUUAUUGUUUUCAUGGUGAACGGGUGAGUAAUACAUAAGAAUCAGCUUUUAGAUAAGGCAUAAAAGAGUAAUAUCUUGGUAAUUCCUUAUAUGCGCAGCAGUGCUUAAAAAGGGGAGUCCCGUCUAAAAACGAGCUUAUGCCUGAUUAGCUAGUUGGCGAGUUAAAAGCUCACCAAGGCGAAGAUCAGUAGCUGGCCUGAGAGGGCGGCCAGCCACAUUGGGACUGAGACACGGCCCAAACUCCUACGGGAGGCAGCAGUGGGGAAUCUUCUGCAAUGGGCGCAAGCCUGACAGAGCGGCGUCGUGUGAAGGAAGAAGGCCUGAAAUAGGUUGUAAACUUCUUUUACUGAGUAAUGAAUAAUGACAACGCAGUAAAAAAGUAUCGGCUAACUCCGUGCCAGCNGCCGCGGUAAUAC